CCACACCGAUUCCUGAAGUCAUCCAGAUCCAGCGCCCAGAUCAUGCCACCACCAAGACCCAUCUUCUUGAUCCACUCAGACUGAGAGGUGAAGGCAACCAUCAGUGACUCAUUGCUGAUCAAGAUGCAGACUGAUGCCUGAGUGAGUGGUUACCAUUUCCCAGUGUUCAGUCUGGCUGUCAUCGGUGCCUCUGUCCUGCUCACACUGCCUCAAGAGGGUGGCCAGGCAAUCUCCUCACUACGAUAUACACUUGAACAUCAACAAAGAAAGCAGUGUGCUUGUAGGAGUUGUGAAGAAAGUGGUCUCCUUCACUACUAAUGGUAUUCUCACUGUCAUUGUUGUUUUCCUUCAGAAGUCAGAGAUCAUUAUAAUUCUGAUGGAGUCACCACUCAGCUGUUGUGGUGAACACAUGUGCUAACACUGUGGCACUCUGGCUGUUCAGUGCAUGCACACAAGCACACACACACACACACACACACACACACACACACACACACACACACACACACACACACACACACACACA